AAGCAUGGAGUAUGUGGUUUAAUUCGAAGCAACGCGAAGAACCUUACCAGGGCUUGACAUCCCUUGAAGCAGCUAGAGAUAGCUGUGUCCUUCGGGACAAGGAGACAGGUGGUGCAUGGUUGUCGUCAGCUCGUGUCGUGAGAUGUUGGGUUAAGUCCCGCAACGAGCGCAACCCCUACGUUUAGUUGCUAACGCGUGAAGGCGAGCACUCUAGACGAACUGCCGUUGACAAAACGGAGGAAGGUGGGGAUGACGUCAAAUCAUCAUGCCCCUUAUGUUCUGGGCUACACACGUGCUACAAUGGCCGGUACAGACGGACGCAAAGCCGCGAGGUGGAGCUAAUCUCAUAAAGCCGGUCUCAGUUCGGAUUGGAGUCUGCAACUCGACUCCAUGAAGUUGGAAUCGCUAGUAAUCGCGGAUCAGCACGCCGCGGUGAAUACGUUCCCGGGCCUU
rnacentral:rRNA from 1 species